GGUUCGAUUAUGGCUCAGAUUGAACGCUGGCGGGAUGCUUUACAUGCAAGUCGAACGGCAGCACGGACUUCAGUCACGGUGGCGAGUGGCGAACGGGUGAGUAAUGUAUCGGAACGUGCCUAGUAGCGGGGGAUAACUACGCGAAAGCGUGGCUAAUACCGCAUACGCCCUUCGGGGAAAGCGCGGGGGACCUUCCCGGGCCUCUACUUACUAUUAAACGGCCGAUAU
rnacentral:misc_RNA from 1 species